rnacentral:rRNA from 1 species
CUACGGGAUGCUGCAGUGAGGAAUAUUGCACAAUGGGGGGAACCCUGAUGCAGCAACGCCGCGUGGAGGAUGACGCAUUUCGGUGUGUAAACUCCCUUUAUAUGUCAAGAAAAUGACGGUAGCAUAUGAAUAAGCACCGGCUAACUCCGUGCCAGCAGCCGCGGUAAUACGGAGGGUGCAAGCGUUACUCGGAAUCACUGGGCGUAAAGGACGCGUAGGCGGGUUGGAAAGUCAGGUGUGAAAUCCUACAGCUUAACUGUAGAACUGCACUUGAAACUUCUAAUCUAGAGUAUGGGAGGGGGAGAUGGAAUUAGUGGUGUAGGGGUAAAAUCCGUAGAUAUCACUAGGAAUACCUAAAGCGAAGGCGAUCUCCUGGAACAUUACUGACGCUAAGGCGUGAAAGCGUGGGGAGCAAACAGGAUUAGAUACCCGAGUAGUC